AAUGUAAAUGAAGACUGAAGACUUAAAGGAACAGAGCGUUGAUGACUGUAAAGCAUGCCUGUUAUAGGGCUUUACCUCAGAGAGUCUAAAGUAGCUGCCUCAAAGUAACUUGAGCCAGGCAACUGAUAAAAACAAUCUACCCUAACCGCCACCCUAAACCUCACAUCACGGUAUCGCUCACAAGAUUUGCAUCCACAUCAUGGCCAAAGUAACAGAGAGUAUGGUCUUCAGGAAAAAGCCGUGGGAAAGGUAGUGGCAAGUCCAUCCAACACAUACCAGUGAACGGAACUGAACUAAUUGAAGAUUAUGGUGGGGAGUAUGCCAUGCCUCGGCCAGCAGAUAAUCCCUCAUCAACUGCCGUCUUGACUCAGAAUGAGGAGUGCAUUUCAUGAAGUAACUCCCCCCAUGGAGCUGCAGAAACUGAGAGGCAGCCCUGUUUAAUUACUGGCCACACUAACAGCACUUAGAGCAGGUGGAAUACAGAGACUGCGGUGGGACAGCCGACUGAGGUUCUGGGAGUAUUUUUGGGUGGGGGGUGGGCAAGGGUAUGCCUACAACCCCCCCCCCCCAAACUGUGGAAAACAGGAACAAUGAGAUUUUCUUUAUACUGGAGGCUCUGCAGCUUUGCUUCAGUUGCCAUUGUCUCCCAGGCCUUUUCUUAAACCCUCGCAGGUUACAAAUCCAGACGCAUAUUGAGUCAUUCAUGCAUCCGUCAAUGACAGGGUGAAGCCCACGUAGAGACUCCUGCUGGGAAUUUAAUGAACAUGUCUUGCUACGGAGGAAGCUGAGCAUGGGAAGUUAACAGACUAGCACCAGGGAGAAUGUGAGAAAGUUAGUGACAGCCAAGAGUCCGAGGUCCUGUGCCAGUUUCGAUUUACAAUCUUGUUUGAUUUUAUUUUAUUGUCAGUGAAGUUGAAACAAUGCUCAGUGCUCAAUUUACUAAAUAAUGAAUGUUUUAUGCAAAAUGAGUCCCAUUUUCUUAAUUCAGAGCAAAUAAAGGCCUCUGUUACAAAUAUAAGGAAUGAAAAGCAGAAAUGGGGUCCAAACAUGGGUGAGAAUGGUUUCUUUGUGGAAAGUGGUCUUAUUCAGAGACUGGAGGGUGAGCGUCAAGAACUUCAGCAAAGCAUUCUGUUUACAAAUAAGCAUGGCUUAGUUUGCAACGAGUCUCCAGACAUUCUAAAGGUCUGGAGCAUUCAAGCAAAACAUCUCAGCUUUACCCCAAAGCUGGAAUUCACAUGCUUAUGAAUGAUGGUGAACACCAUUGAAUUCUGGAAGAAGCAAUGAGACAAGUAAGUCGUAAUCCUUAAUCUAAAUAUCAAUUGGCAUGCAUGUUGUGUCUGGACUCUUGAUCAAGCAGCAUAAGAGAUUCAUUGUCUGAAGCAGAGUAUAGAAACAGGGUUUGGGUGUGUAUUCAAGGUCUGUUGCACAAUUGUUUGAGCAACUUUGAAUCAAAAAUCAGAAUUUAGCUUUUUAACUUGUUUGGUGCUAGAGUGGGUAGAGACCAAGAGCAGCUGUCCCGGGGAGAAAGAUAAAUCUUUCAUUAUUUCAAAGUCAGUAUUGAUUUGUGCUAUUGGCAUGGUAUUGUGUGCACAACAUAAAUUAAAUAUAUAAUGUACAAACAUUACAAUGUAUAAGAUGUCACAGGUAAAUACAAUGACUUGGGAACUGUAGGACAAUUGUGUACAAACUUGUUCAAUGCACAAAUUCACUUCACUUCAAAUUCACCCCCUGAGGAAAUGCACUUAUGAUGCCUGACAAUCAUGGACACUGAUGAUACAACGCUAAAUACGGCUAAAUCUGGUACAAUUGCCUGAUCCAGUACUUAGCAGAAUUAUCUCCUUUACAGUUCAACAUCAAGUCAACAGAAGUGAUUUGAUGUGACAAGCAGAAUCAUUGUUGUGUCUUUGUCCUUGGGUCUGUGUCUGAAGCAGCCAGACGGGUGGGUGUUGAGGGCAAAACCUUGUGGUGAUUCCAGAGACUUUCUGAGUGAAGUCAGUGUCAGUGGUUCAUCUACUCUAGCACAAAACUGCU